rnacentral:rRNA from 1 species
GACGAACGCUGGCGGCGUGCUUAACACAUGCAAGUCGAACGGGAUUUCGUAAGCAGAAACCUCGGUGGCAGAUUACUAAUGAGAAUGGCCAACGGGGGAUUAACGCGUGAGCAACCUGCCUAUGACAGAGGGAUAGCCUCGGGAAACCGGGAUUAAUACCGCAUAAAAUCGUACAAACACAUGUUUUAACGGUCAAAGAUUUAUCGGUCAUAGAUGGGCUCGCGUCUGAUUAGCUAGUUGGUGAGAUAACAGCCCACCAAGGCGACGAUCAGUAGCCGGUCUGAGAGGAUGAACAGCCACAUUGGGACUGAGACACGGUCCAAACUCCUACGGGAGGCAGCAGUGGGGAAUAUUGCACAAUGGGGGAAAGCCUGACGCAGCGACGCCGCGUGAAUGAAGAAGGUAUUAGGAUCGUAAAGUUCUGUCAUCUGGGAAGAUAAUGACGGUACCAUAGGAGAAAGCCCCGGCUAAAUACGUG